rnacentral:rRNA from 1 species
AGAGUUUGAUUCUGGCUCAGGAUAAACGCUGGCGGUGUGCUUAAUGCAUGCAAGUCGAACGGAGAUGAAACUUCGGUUUUAUCUCAGUGGCGAACGGGUGAGUAACACGUAAGUAACCUGUCCUUAAGUGGGGAAUAACUCCGGGAAACCGGGGCUAAUACCGCAUAUGGUAAUCGGGUUUAAGCUUGAUUAUCAAAGCCGCAAGGCGCUUGAGGAGGGGCUUGCGUCCUAUCAGGUAGUUGGUGAGGUAACGGCCCACCAAGCCUAUGACGGGUAGCUGGUCUGAGAGGACGGUCAGCCACACGGGGACUGAGACACGGCCCCGACUCCUACGGGAGGCAGCAGCAGGGAAUCUUGCGCAAUGGGUGAAAGCCUGACGCAGCAACACCGCGUGGGGGAUGAAGGCUCACGGGUCGUAAACCCCUUUUUCUCAGGGAAGAAAGAAAUGACGGUACUUGAGGAAUAAGCCUCGGCCAACUACGUGCCAGCAGCCGCGGUAAUACGUAGGAGGCAAGCGUUAUCCGGAUUUACUGGGCGUAAAGAGCGCGCGGGCGGUCCUUUAAGCUAGGUGUGAAAACUCUCAGCUUAACUGAGAGACGCCAUCUAAUACUGGGGGGCUUGAGGGCAGCAGAGGAAGAUGGAAUUCCCGGUGUAGUGGUGAAAUGCGUAGAUAUCGGGAGGAACACCAGUGGCGAAGGCGGUCUUCUGGGCUGUACCUGACGCUGAGGCGCGAAAGCGUGGGGAGCAAACAGGAUUAGAUACCCUGGUAGUCCACGCCCUAAACGUUGGACACUGGAUAUGGGGGGUAUCGACCCCCUCCGUGUCGAAGCUAACGCUUUAAGUGUCCCGCCUGGGAACUACGAUCGCAAGGUUAAAACUCAAAGAAAUUGACGGGGGCCCGCACAAGCAGCGGAGCGUGUGGUUUAAUUCGAUGCUUCGCGAAGAACCUUACCAAGGCUUGACAUGCUGGAAGUAGAAACCCGAAAGGGCAACGACCUGUUAAAUCAGGAGCCUGCACAGGUGCUGCAUGGCUGUCGUCAGCUCGUGCCGUGAGGUGUUGGGUUAAGUCUCGCAACGAGCGCAACCCUCGUCGCCAGUUGUAUUUUUCUGGCAAGACUGCCCCGCAAAACGGGGAGGAAGGCGGGGAUGACGUCAAGUCAGCACGGCCUUUAUGCCUUGGGCUACACACACGCUACAAUGGACGGUACAACGGGGUGCUUAAGAGCAAUCUGAAGCGAAUCCCUAAAAACCGUUCUCAGUUCGGAUUGCAGGCUGCAACUCGCCUGCAUGAAGUUGGAGUUGCUAGUAACCGCGGGUCAGCUCACCGCGGUGAAUACGUUCUCGGGCCUUGUACACACCGCCCGUCACGUCAUGGGAGCUGGUAACACCUGAAACCGCUGGGCUAACCAUUCGUGGAGGUAGGCGUCCAGGGUGGGACUGGUGACUGUGACGAAGUCGUAACAAGGUA